GACCUCGUACCUCAGCUGGUAGAGUGUGCGCUCUGCAAAUGCGUAGGCGGGGUCCAUGCGGGGGUUCAAAUCCCAUCGAGGCUA
rnacentral:tRNA from 1 species